GCCACCCAGGCGCCCCCCUCAUUAUUUUUCUUAAAGAAGCUAUCCCCCCCCCGAAAAAGGAAUAAGCUUCAGGUCCCGUCAAACCUGAAUCCACCCCUGGGAGACGGGGCCUGGAUGGAAAAGAGGGGGUUCGGGAGGCAAAAGCGAGGGAGUGGACUCCGGGCUCUGAGAUCCAGACAAAGCUUUGCUGAUCAGCUGACCUUGGACAAAUCAUUUAACCUCAAAGUACUUCCCUUUUCCUUUUCUAUAAAACAAAAAUCAUACAAGUUCCCAUCUCCUCAGGUGGUUUGCGAGAUUAAGUAAGAUAAUGUGCAUAAAGGAAUUAGCGGAGUCAUUCACAUGUAGCAAAUACUCCCUGCCUUUGCAAUGAUUUCCUGUUAUAUAAUAUUCUUAUUAAAAUGUGUUUUCCUGGUUGGGGUUCUGAGGAUUUGUCAUUUUCUUGUGCUGGGUUCCUGCCGCGGUCCGUAGAUGGAGGGCAUGUGCCCUCUUGCGUUCCCCCAUGAGCUGUUUCGGAGGAUCAGAGUCUGUCCUGGGACGCACACACAGUCAGGCACCAUGACCCAGGAGAGACACAUCCUAGUCUGUGGCCCUUGCAGGCUGUGGGCCAUGACCCAAGCCCACUCUCUGGGAACACGUACCGAGUGUCCUGCUGCACAGGCCCGGAGCCACGAGCCUGACUCAUUGCGGUUGUGUGUCUCUGCACAACCCCUGAGGGUGUGCCUGCUGCCCAUCAGAUCUCCCCUUUGCUCUAGCCCCACUCUUCUUGGGAAACAGUCCUUUAUAACUUGGAGCAAGUUGCUGGAGGAGAGGGUGGGUCUGGGAUUGCAAAAGGAGCCCCCCGAGCAUCUUCCAGGGCAGCCGGCUCCUGGCCAGCCCAGGGUUGUGUGGUGCGCCUGGACAGCUGGUGUCCGUCUGCAGGCUCCUGCCUGCGGGCCUGGAGUGACAGCUUGGCAGGCCCAGACCUUGCUCCAGACCCUCCCCCAGAGCCGGUGGGGCUGGGAGUCCUGGACCUGUUUCCUGGGCCCUGUGCAGCCGUUCUCCGAGUGGCCGCUUGAUGGCGCUGUGGUUCCACCGGGCGAGGGCGCCAGGGCUGCUGGCGGCCCUGGCCGGUGCCGCUGGUCUCCCCGGGCGGGCGCCUGGCGGCUGUGCCCGGCUCUGCUGGCGGCAGGGAGCCCCGGCCGCUUCUCCCGGGAGCACAAAGCCUCCACCCGGGGCCCAGCGCCUCCCCACCCACACCCGGCAUGGAAGCCACUUGGAGCGUUGGGACUCUAGCCCUUGCCCUUGUCCUGGCUGCGCAGAGGCUCCCGGCCGCUGACUUUAUUCUGCGUCCAACAUGUUUCAUUUUUUCUUGUUUUGUUUCCUUGCCUGCACCAUGUUUCUGCGGUCUCACUAAUAGCCAUUUACGGGGUCCGUUUCCCCAAGCCCCCCGCCCAGGGGUCUGCAAGAAUUACAAUUUAAUCUAAUCUGUGUUCUGAUUUUGGGGAGGAACUGAAGGGAGAAAUGGCCGGGCUGGCCUCUUUCCUCUUUUCAAAAGCUUUCCUGUGGCUCUAACUUUGCUCCAAAAAAAAUCCUUCUUUGGGGCUGGUGCUUGGGAGGGAAAGGUGUUUGCAUAUAGAGUGCAAGCAGACUGGCUAGUGGGGAGUGCAAGAAAGGAAGAGGAAGAAAGGAAGCUCUUUAAAAACGGACUUUGUAUCUGACUCCAGACCUGCCCCAGGGCACUUUAAUAAAACAAUGACAAACACAGAGCGAGAACUAGAAAGCACUCAUCAUUUUUCCCCCAGAAAUGACUUCUAUUUCAGGACCUUCUUCUAAGAUAGAUACUGUCAUCGCACGGAUCUGUCCCCCACACGGGAUCUGUCGAUUCCUGGGUUCGGUUGCCUGCUUUUAAAUUUAAUACACCGAGUCCUUUUCUCCCUUGGGCAAGCCGGCUCUUGGAAAGCUGAACUCAAGCAGGUCGACUGGAACUUUUAUGUGCAGACGGCUCUAGGCGACGUGUCUGCGUGGAAGGGUCUCCUGGGAGCCGUGCUGCCCACGUUUGGGGGAGGAUGACCGGACCGCGGCUUCCAGGCAGGGCAGAGCUGGGAAGAUGUGGCAUGUCCGGAAGGCCCUGGGCGGCCCCGUUUCGAUUUGCAGAGAGAGCAGCCCUGCUGAACUCAGCAGCUCUUGGAACGCCCAGAGCAGGGUGCUCGACCCUCUGAGCUCUGAGCGGGCCUCGUGGAUCCUCGAGGCAUCUGUGCAUGGGCCGGAGCCUCUCCAGGCUGCCCAGGGUCUGGGGCCUGAGAGGUGGGGCUCUGGGGUCACCAAUGCAGGCCCUUGUCCCUCUGGAGGAUCCCAGGGCAGAAGCAGAAAGCCCGUGUGUGUGUGUUGGGGGGGGGUUGGAAGGGGUGUCAGGCUGCUUCUCCCGGGUCCGCCCAGGUCCCUCCAGGCUGCCCCAGGCGACUGGCCUGUCUAAACCUGGGACCCGGCGAGCUUGUGUUCCCACCUAGAGUAGCAAAGGGAAGCAAAAACAGCAGAUAAACGGGCAUUGCUUGGUCCCCUACCCUGAGGGCAGCGGGGCACCAGGAGAAGCGAAACGUUCUUUUAUUUGUCUUCUUUCUCUCUUUUAUCAUUUUUUUCCUGCUGCUGCCACCCUGCCUGGCCGCCUCAGGGAGGCACGACGGGUCCUGCGGUUUCUCAGGACCCUGGGAAGAAAAGGCAGGGGACAGGGACAAAGAACACGGAGCCAUGAAGGCCCAGAUGGCCUUCAGGUCUCCUGUGCCUCUGGUGGCCCUCAAGGCAGGACGGGGGUGGGGAGGACAGCAUUCUGCAGCCACGCUGACCAGAACUCACAGUCCAGCUUUUCCUGUUUCCAGCUCUGUGUUCGUGUGGGGAAUCACACAACCCUCUCGGCUUUGCUUUUUCUUAUCCGGAAAAUCCAGAAACGUCCACCAGUCCUUAGCCUUGGUGUGAGGACAGCUGAAGUCCUGGAGAGCACGUUCUUAAAGGCUGGUAGUUCUUUGAUGCUUUCCACGAGGCACACACUGGACGAGGGUUUUACCUAGAUUAUUCUAGUGAAUUCUCACAAGACCCCAACGACAGAGGCAUUCUUAUGGUCCCCGUGGUGGGAAACGGACACCUGGACAGACCGUGCAUCCUGUGCCCAAAGUCACCCGGUGUCAAGCACUGAAGCCUGAGCCGGACUCUGACACGAUUUGCUGCGUGGCUGUGUCCCCGCCUCCCCAACCUCACCUCCCCUGACGCGGUGGGCUCCUUGCUCCUGCGUGGGGGGCGGCCAGUGAGAGGGUCCCGCAUCCCACCGCUCGUCAAGGCCCUGGGGUUUGGACCUUUGCGCGUUUCUUCCUCCAGAAGUCAUGGAAUCCACUUCCUGUUCCUGAAACUCCACAAGAGACAACCAGCAACUCUGGAUAAGGGAGCAGAGUGUUCGGUAAUGAGUGUGCACAGUAGCGGUCAUUAGACACGAAAAAAGUCUCCCCGUAUCUCAUUUCCCCUGAGGAAGACCAUGGCUUCCAUGGACUUGUGUGUCUGUGAGAGAGAGAGAAAGAGAAAGAGCAUCGUGUGCGUGGAGAAUCAGAAUCCUCACCCCUGAAGGUGGAAGGAACCAGAAGGUGUGACCCAGGGCAUCGGGCAGACAACGGGUCUCCCGGGAAGGAAGGGGCACGGUGGGGGUGGGGAGAAGCAGAGGAAGGGCAAGGCCUCUCCGGCAGGCGGAAAGGCCUGGGGGGUGACUUCUGGGGUUCCCCCGCCUGAGGGCCUUCUGUCUCCUUGCCACUGUGGUUCCUCAGAUCCUUUAGAGAAGAAAAAGGCCUUUCCUUGGACUCUGCAGGGCCAGGCCUCCUGGGCCGGGGCCAAAGGUGACCACGGGUGACACUGGAGUGCCAGCGAGUUUCGUUUAAAGCAGAAUCCAUCAUCCAGGGAGCAUGCGUGCCUUCUGGCCCGGCCGUUGGCGAGGGGCACCAGGGUGCUGAAGGCUCGUGGCCUGGUGGGUGGCAGGAGGGAGGCAGACACGUGGCGGGGGACUGUGGGGACCCGACUCAGCCAGGGGCGUGUUACUGCCUUUCUGCUGGGCCAGGUGUCUGAGGGAGGGGACCCGGUGGCAAAGCCAUUAUCUUUCUAGAGCUGGCCGGCCGGACUGCUGUUUUCUCCCGAGGAGAUGCCGUGGGAGGUGUCUUUGCAGCCUGUGCUAUAAAGCGUGGGAGAGAGCGGGGUACAGUGUCAGAAAACACACACACACACACGCACCGGUUGUUGACAGAGUACAUCUCCAGUUGUGAUGGGGGGCGGUGGCAGCUCGUGAAAGCCGCAGGUGUCCCCAGGCAGAUGGAGAUGGCCCGUCGCAUCCCCCCCCGUGUCCCACCCUGAAAACCCACGUGGGGAGGUCGCCACAUUCCCCGGACGCUCCCACGGCUAACUCUGUGUUCGCAAGGAUUAUCCCUGUUCUCAUGAUGCUGGGGGCUGGCCUGGGGAUUUACCGACGGGAUGGGGACACGGAUCUUCAUUUUUGCUCUAAAAACAACCCCGCGGUGGUAGUCCGGGGAAGCGAGAGACCGGUUCUGGGUGGAUGUUGGCAUUUUCUGUCUGUCUCAGGGGGUGAGGCCAAAGCUCGUCUUGUGUUAGCCUGACUGUCGUGGGCAGGGCCCCACGUGGGCCUGUCCCAGAGUCCCCUGGGCACCAGCAGGCGGGUGUGUCACUGCUGCUUGCGGCUGGGGCCGGGGAUUCCAGUAACGCUGUUCGCGACGAGCCUCAGCCGAGAACAGACACCGUGAAAGACUGCCCCCCUGGGCUUAUCGUCAGACACUCCGUGUAAAUACCGUAAGUUACAGCUUCUGUUCCUCGACCGCAUGCUGUGCCCAGACGGUGUUCUGCAUAGCUUAUCCUGAGCACUUUUACAAUUCUGCAUGGUGGCAAUUAUUUCCAUUUGUUGAAUAAAGAAGCCUAUAUUCCGAGAAGUUAAGCAACUUGCCCAAUGCCACACAGCUUGUUGAGGGCAGAGCCGAGAACCUGACUCUCACCUGUCUGCCUCUCCAGAGAGAAAGCAGUGCCCUUCCUGCUUCAGCUCCAGGUCAUAUCGGGGUCUGGAGGCAGGGGUGUGACCCCCCAGGAGGGGCUCCGAGCAAGGAAAUGACCGACCUGCUCUACGUGACCCCCUUGAGAGCCUGCUCUGGUUAGAAAUGCCCCCUUGGACGGACACCACAGCCAGCUGCCCUGCUCCCGGGGAACGCGGAGGAAGGGGGAGGUGUGGACUAGCCGUCUGGGCCCAGAUGACAGAGGACCAUGUGCUUGUCUCCUGAGAUUUGAUCUUUGCUGUCUGGCAGCUGUUCAGAAACCAGCCGGACGGCUACGUGCUGCAGUCAGCCCCCUCUGGGGUUUCGGCCUCCCCAUGGGAUCUGCAGGCAGGAAAGUGUCUAAGACACAACCCCCUGACCCUGUGGUGACAGCCAUGUGCACAUACCUGAGCCCGUUCAUCUCCGGAUGUCGCAAGCAGGAAGAGCUCGCAGCCUUUCCCUCUCCGCCUGUUGACUCGGGUCCGGAGUCGGCUUCCUCCGCCUGGGUCAUCCUGCGCCAAGACGCUCUUCUCCUUGGAUCAGAGCAUGAGAAGCCAAGAUGACGCUUGCUUGGGCUUCGGACUCAAGCCGUAGGUGAAAUCAGAGCUUUGAGGCUGACCUAGGGAGGUGCUCCGAGCCCAGAAAAGAAGGACAAGACAGAAGGCCCGGCAAGGGAAAGCGGCUAAGGACCGCUCUGUCUCGCUCGCCGUUCUCACCAGGAAGCUAGCGGGAGCCAAGCUCUACCAUCGCCACCUUGCAAAGGACCCGGCUAAGAUGGGACCAUCUCUUAAGAGGCAAGAGCUCUGGAUCUGAUUAAGAAUUCUUGCUUUGGAGAAUGAAGAAACUUGUGGAUUUGAGAAGACGUUGAAGGAGAAAGCAAAGACCCUUGCACCGAGGAGAGAAGUCUGUGGACGGCCCCGUGUGCGCCGGACGUGACCUCCGGCCGGACGACUCAGCAUCAUCGCAGACCUUGCCGUUCCUCCUUGUGGAAAGCGUUUCCUCUGCCGCGGCUGCCCCUCCGUCUCCCCUGCCCCCAGUGCCCGGAAACCGAAAGGCUUUUCCACCACACCCUCGCCGGCCCCCCAGCUCCCGCGUCUGCUGUGCCUUUGGACUCGGCAAUUCGUGUUUGUUCCAUUAUCUUCCAGCCGGAUACAGAGUGAAUUGUUAACCACACUCAGGUCAAAUGGGAUUUUAAUUUUUGUUCCUGUUCCUUCUGAAGAAGCCGAUGUUUGUGUUGCUAUGUGAGCAGCACCGGCGUCAAAUGUCCUCUUGCUUCUUGGGGGAUCCGGGCCCUCGGAUUCCAGAGCGAUGCAGGUCAGGGCAGAAGUUCUUUGGGACCUCAGAGGUCAGGGACCCUGGAGGGGGCUCCUGUAGGGGCGUUGGGGUCCUCCAUGUCCAGCUUUCUCUGCUUGGAUCCCACAUAGGUAUUUGUCUGGAAGCGCCAAAAAAUGAAUGCUGUGGUCUCUUCUCUCUCUCUCUCUCUUUUUUUUUAAAUCUCAUUUUGAUGUAUAAUUGACAUAGCAUUCUAUCCGUUUCCCAGCUGUCUUCUGUUGACACAGACGCGCCACCAGCUGUGAAGACCCUUCUCUCAGAUGGCAGUCGGAGCCCGUGCCAGCGCCUGGUGCGGCAUCACAGGCCGUCUAACGACCAGAGCUGGUGUGUCUAUUGUCGACCCUCUUUGCCCCCGAGGACACUCCUGACGGCCGGUCGGGCCCCUCGAGACACGAGUCCUGUUUGCUCCUUCCCUCCAGAGCCGCCGUGCCCAUUCUAGAGUCUGAAAACCCUUCUAGAGUCUACCUUGUCUCGGUCGCAGGACCAACAACGUCCAUUUGUUCUCCUGCUAACGCAAACGGACGGCUUGCCUUUGUGGAAGGAAUUAAGGCCAUACGCGGCGACCUUCUCCUCGUUGUAGUGAUGUGUUUCUGUGACCCCGGAGCGAUGUCCCUGUCUGGUCACUGGAGCAGUGGCAUCCUUCCUGGCCUCUCAGAGUCCCCACAAAAUGAGCGAGGACAGCCUCCCGAGGCCGUGUCCUGCUGUUGAACUAUAAGUCUUGUUUGUGGGCUUUGGUCUUCCUUGAGGCGCACACAGGUUCGUCGUCCUGGUUAGAGUCCUUGGGGUUUCAAGGAACAGAGACCCUCUUAGAUCACCCCCAUUCACGUGGGUUUAUUCCAAGCUGCUCUGGAAGUAAGGUAGACAGGACCAGUCCACCCAGCCACUGCACAGCGAGGCCUUUCUAGAAGCCUGAAGCCAUUCGAAACAUCCAUUCUCUAGACGGUUUCUAGGAACAGCAAGAGCUCUUGACGCCAUGUCAUUCUGAUUAUCUGCUCAGCAGUAGGGCGCACUGCUCCUGAUUCUAGAAUUCUCCACUGAUGAUGAGCUAAGAGUGCUAGCUGUCCCAGUUUGCCCCGGACUGAGAGAUGUCUGGGGACACACGACUUCCACUGAUAAACUUGGGACAGUCCUGGGCAUACCAGAACAAUUGGCCACCCUCCUGGGUGGCUUGAUGACAUCGCGUCUGCUGUGUUAUCUGCCGUAGCUCGCUGAUGCUCUUAAGAGGCCUGGCCAGCUGCCAUCAGAGCCACAACGUCUGGCCACAUUGUUGACCACUGGGCAGCCUACAGAUGGAGGCAUUGGCUCAAGCACCCAGUCCUGACCACGUCAGGUGUUUGCCGGGUGGUAGGGUGGCAUGAUACUGAAUUACAACCUGGGGACAAUGAACCAGCUGAGACCACGUCCUUCAGAAGAGGGGCUGUGGAUAGUGGAGACGGGAGCCACGCAGGGUAUCAGGGAUUCCUCGCCAACACAGUCCUACUCCAAAUAGGUGAAGCUCAUAACCUUCCUUGGUAAGGACAGAGCAGUUCAUUCGGAGACAAAAACUCCCACAGCCACUGGGGAACCAGACUACGCCUGUCUCAGAGACAUGCACGUACCAUGGAGAAUGAGCCAAAAAGAAAACUCUGCGUCUUUGCUAGAGAGAGAGUAAGAGCUAAAACUGUCGAGAUGGGUUUGUCUAGGGAGUGAAGGAGUUGGCUGGAGAACCUCCUGAAAUUCCUUUGAACUCUAGGAUUCUUUGAAAUAUUGAAGGGCGUGUCAGUGUGACCUAAGUGUGUGCUUUUCCUCCAAAGCUCACCUCCGAGUUCUACCCCAAUCCUGUUGAAUAGGACCUCCCAGCUCCCUCUUCCCUCUCCAGACACUGACCUUAUCUGGGAUAAGGGAGCGGAGCUUGGUGGUCGUGGUCGUGGUCGUGGGCGGUGGAGGAGGACGGGAAGGUUGUACCUGCCCAACUUUUGGUGUUCUUGACAAGUAAGAACAAUCUGAAGGCAAAUUACAGGUUCUUUUCGGGUUAGUCAAAGCCAGGCUCUCGGGAUUGCAUGCCAUCCCGAAGCUGUUGCUUCUUGUCAGGGGAUCAGGCUUCCAUCUUUUCUGCUGAAAGACGGGCGUGAGCGUCUGCGGUGUUGGA